rnacentral:misc_RNA from 1 species
GAUGAAGAACGCAGCGAAAUGCGACAAGUAAUGUGAAUUGCAGAAUUCCGUGAAUCAUCGAAUCUUUGAACGCACAUUGCGCCCUCUGGUAUUCUGGAGGGCAUGCCUGUCCGAGCGUCAUUGCUAUACCUCAAGCUCUGCUUGGUGUUGGGCCCUGCCCGCUGCGGCCGGCCCUAAAGACAGUGGCGGUGCCGCCUGGCCCUGAGCGUAGUACAUCUCUCGCUCCAGUGCCCGGUGGUAGCCUGCCAGAACCCCAACUCUCGUGGUUGACCUCGGAUCAGGUAGGGAUACCCGCUGAACUUAAGCAUAUCAAUAAGCGGAGGA